rnacentral:rRNA from 1 species
UACAGAGGUCUCAAGCGUUGUUCGGAUUCAUUGGGCGUAAAGGGCGCGUAGGCGGCGAGGUAAGUCGGGUGUGAAAUCUCAGAGCUCAACUCUGAAACUGCACUCGAUACUGCUUGCUAGAGGACUGGAGAGGAGAUUGGAAUUCACGGUGUAGCAGUGAAAUGCGUAGAGAUCGUGAGGAAGACCAGUGGCGAAGGCGGAUCUCUGGACAGUUCCUGACGCUGAGGCGCGAAGGCCAGGGGAGCAAAACGGG